CUAACCAGGCCGGUGGUGGCCCUGUGCAUCCUGGUCAACAGCACAGGGCCACCAAAAAAACAAGGGCCCGUUUGUUUAGCCAAAGGUACAUAUUAUUGAAAAAAAAAAUGAAUAGGCUCUUAGUUAAUGAGUCGAUUAUUCAACAACUCCCCAAGCUUAAUUUCCUUGAUUCACGCUCCAUUCCAAUAUUCAUCUUCAAUUCACGCUCCAUUCUCAAGAUUCAUCUCCCUAAAUUUCUCAUUCUUUUCAAUAUUAUUCCAAAUUCCUAAUUUCGUAUUUUCAAUCCUUCUAUAUUCCCAACAAUUUUCAUUAAACACUUUUAGAUUUUGGCGGAAGAAUCAAGAAUUCAUCUGAUCUUUCACAUCAUAUAUUCAAUUCGAUUUAUCGUUUAUGAAUCAAGAAUUCAUCUGAUCUUUCUCCAAUUUAUCAUUACAAUUUGGAAAUUUCAAAUUUCGAUUGAUAAUUUGGAUCCUCUAGUUGCUUAGAAUUGGAAAAGAGUGAGGUUUAGGGAUUUUUUGAAGAUGAAGAACGAGAAUCGCAGAGGCAAAUUAAAAGCUAAAGAUUAAGAGCACUGGAGCAGGCGGUCAGAUUGCAUCGUACCAUCUUUUACUUUUAAUUGCAUAUUAUUAUUAUGUGUUUUAUUGUUUCUUUAAAUAAUUGUUGGGUUGUAAUGGGAUUUUAUUUAAAUUUUAAAUAAACUUUUUUUUAGGUUUUUUGUUUAGAUUUGUAGGAAUAAAAGUGUAAUGCUGGUAAAGUAAUAUUUUGAUUAUCACACUUUUUUAUAAUAUUAGGGCCCAUUUUGAAGAUUUGGAUAAGAUUAGAAUAGGGCCUUCGAAAUGUUUAAGACGACCCUGGAUCUAACUAUUGGAAUUCAGGCUUUUAGGGGAAAGAGACAAAGAUGCUGAUCGUGGGAUUAUAUUAGGGGGAUUCUUAUUCUUUUUAUUUUAUGUAAAAUUAAUUUUAUUUUUGUUCUGACUGCUUUUUAAUAUUAUCUAAAGUUAACUAAAUCGAUGGUUAA